UAACAUGCCAAAAUGUCCCUG
rnacentral:piRNA from 1 species